AUAAGAACAAAAGGUUCCGUUAUGCAAGAUGAAAAGGCCCUGUAGAUCAUUGUGCGACACAGUGCUUAGACUUAUGACUGCGGCGGCCACGCUCUGCGGGUCGCGGAGGCGGGCAGAGGCGGAGCCGCAGGAGCCCGGCCCGGCGGCCCCAGGGGCGGUGGCAGCCCAGCAGGCGUCUCGCGGGGCUGCUUCGCUUCCACACUCGUCUCAGAGGACCAGAGAGGAAGGAUGUCGUCGGGGCUUAAGGCCGAGCUGGAGUUCCUAGCGUCCAUCUUCGACAAGGACCACGAGCGGCUGCGCAUCGUGAGCUGGCAGCUGGAUGAGCUGCAGUGUCAGUUCCUGGUGCCGCCGGCGCCCGCGGGCAGCCCGCCCUCGCCGCCGCUCACCCUGCACUGCACCAUCACCGAGUCCUACCCAUCUUCGCCGCCGAUAUGGUUCGUGGACUCUGACGAUCCUGAUCUCACAUCGAUCCUGGAACGCCUGGAAGAUUCGAAGCCCAACAGUUCGCUUCGUCAGCAGCUCAAGUGGCUGAUCUGUGAACUCUGCAGCUUAUAUAACCUGCCUGAGCACCUGGAUGUGGAGAUGCUGGACCAGCCGGUCCCCAUCGCUCAGAAGGCGACUAUCGAAGAGGUGCCAUCAGAGGAUGAAGAUGAAGAUGGAGCUGAUGGGCUGGAAGACUUGGAUCAUUAUGACCUGAAAGAAGAAGAAGACGACGACGAAGAAGAAGAGACCAGUAGUGAGAAAAAGUCAGAGGAUGAAGGGCUUGAGAAAGAACAUUUGGCAAUAUUAGAGAAUAUCAAGAAGAGCCAAAGGCAAGAGCAUUUGAAUGGUACCGUGUCUGGCUCGGUGCAUGCUUCAAAUAGACUUAUGAAAGAACUCAGAGAUGUAUACAGAUCGCAGAGUUACAAAUCGGGGACUUAUUCCGUGGAACUGAUAAAUGACAGCUUAUAUGACUGGCACAUUAAACUGAGGAAGGUUGACCCUGAUAGUCCCUUGUACGGUGACCUUCAGCUCUUGAAAGAAAAAGAAGGCAUAGACUAUAUUUUGCUUAACUUCUCUUUCAAAGAUAACUUUCCGUUUGAUCCUCCAUUUGUUCGCGUCGAGUUGCCUAUUCUCUCUGGAGGGUAUGUCUUGGGUGGAGGGGCGUUGUGUAUGGAACUGCUCACCAAACAGGGCUGGAGCAGCGCCUACUCCAUUGAAUCGGUCAUCAUGCAGAUCAAUGCCACCUUAGUCAAAGGCAAGGCCAGGGUGCGCUUUGGAGCAGAUAAGAAUCAGUAUAAUCUAGAAACAGCCCAACAGUCCUAUGACUCCGUUGUGCAGAUGCAUGAGAAAAAGGGCUGGUUUACUCCUCCAAAGGAAGAUGGGUAAAUAGUAGACUGCCGUGCAUUUGGAACAAGGUAGCUUUAAAGACACAAGCUUUGCAUAUCUUUGUAACAGUAGUGCGGAAGAUAUUAGCUAAUUGGUAUUUUAGUGGAUAAGCUGUCAACUGACCACCAGUAGAAGUUCCAACCUUUUCAUUUUGCUUACUGUGGGGGUCUUGGGCUGAACUGUGAGCCUUUACUGUGGUUUUACCUGAUAAAUAAUCAUAGUGUCCAUUUUUCAUCAUCUGUUUUCCUUGAUUCAGUAAAAUGUGUUAAGUAGGCCAGUCAGUUGUGACUUUAUAGAUAAUUUUCGUUUAUUGGGCUAUUGGGGGAGGUGGGAGGGGAUAAUGAGUAUUUACAAACAUUUGUUCCAUUUAGUGCCAAUAAAAGUUUUGCCAGUGUCUAAUACUGGCUUAGAAGA